AAACUUUGAGAAAAUGCUCCGACAUGGAGAUGUCAACUUGAGUGACAGCCCUGCGCGAGGAGCCACGCGCUGGCUGCCUCCUUUGCAUGCAUCACUUCACAGAAGUGAUGACUGCCAUUUGAACAGAGAGACAUCUUUCCCGCCCGGGGUCAAGAAACUGACAGAGCCCACCCAUUAAUAGAAAUAACUGUCAUUUAAAAUAAAAUGCUUGGU
rnacentral:misc_RNA from 1 species